rnacentral:rRNA from 1 species
CCUACGGGAGGCAGCAGUGAGGAAUAUUGGUCAAUGGCCGGAAGGCUGAACCAGCCAUGCCGCGCGAAGGUCAGUGCCCUAUGGGCGUUAAACUUCUUUUGUGCGGGAGCAAUAAUGGUCACGUGUGGCCAGACGAGAGUACCGUACGAAUAAGCAUCGGCUAACUCCGUGCCAGCAGCCGCGGUAAUACGGGGGAUGCAAGCGUUAUCCGGAUUUAUUGGGGUUAUAGGGUGCGUAGGCUGUGAGGUAAGUCAGCGGUGAAAUGCCCCCGCUCAACGGGGUGAAGUGCCAUUGAUACUGCCUUGCUGGAAUGCGGAUGCCGUGGGAGGAAUGUGUGGUGUAGCGGUGAAAUGCAUAGAUAUCACACAGAACACCGAUUGCGAAGGCAUCUCACGAAUCCGCGAUUGACGCUGAUGCACGAAAGCGUGGGUAUCAAACAGGAUUAGAUACCCGGGUAGUC